rnacentral:rRNA from 2 species
AAAACUUUUAACAACGGAUCUCUUGGUUCUGGCAUCGAUGAAGAACGCAGCGAAAUGCGAUAAGUAAUGUGAAUUGCAGAAUUCAGUGAAUCAUCAAAUCUUUGAACGCACAUUGCGCCCGCCAGCAUUCUGGCGGGCAUGCCUGUUCGAGCGUCAUUU